AUACGGAGGAUGCGAGCGUUAUCCGGAUUUAUUGGGUUUCAAGGGUGCGCAGGCGGGCGAUUAAGUCAGCGGUGAAAGGCUCGGGCUCAACCGGAGCAGUGCAGUUGAUACUGGUUGUCUUGAAUGCGGUCAAGGCCGGCGGAAUGUGGCGUGUAGCGGUUAAAUGCAUAGAUAUGCCACAGAACACCGAUAGCGAAGGCAGCUGGGCGGGCCUGCAUUGACGCUGAGGCACGAAAGCGUGGGGAUCGGACAGGAUUAGAUACCCUGGUAGUCCACGCUGUAAACGAUGAGUACUAAGUGUUGCGAGAACGCAGUGCUGAAGUUAGCAUAUUAAGUACUCCGCCUGAGUAGUACGUACGCAAGUUUGAAACUCAAAUGAAUUGACGGGG
rnacentral:rRNA from 1 species